AUGCCAGACUCCUACGGGAGGCAGCAGUGGGGAAUAUUGCACAAUGGGGGGAACCCUGAUGCAGCGACGCCGCGUGGGUGAAGGAGCACCUCGGUGCGUAAAGCCCUAUCGGCAGGGAAGAAACAGACGGUACCUGACUAAGAAGCCCCGGCUAAAUACGUGCCAGCAGCCGCGGUAAUACGUAUGGAGCAAGCGUUAUCCGGAUUUACUGGGUGUAAAGGGAGCGCAGGCGGCCUUGCAAGUCUGAUGUGAAAGGCCGGGGCCCAACCCCGGGACUGCUCUGGAAACUGCGGCGCUGGAGUACGGGAGGGGCAGGCGGAAUUCCUGGUGUAGCGGUGAAAUGCGUAGAUAUCAGGAGGAACACCGGUGGCGAAGGCGGCCUGCUGGACUGCGACUGACGUUGAGGCCCGAAAGCGUGGGGAGCAAACAGGAUUAGAUACCCGCGUAAC
rnacentral:rRNA from 1 species